rnacentral:rRNA from 1 species
UACGUAGGGUGCGAGCGUUAAUCGGAAUUACUGGGCGUAAAGCGUGCGCAGGCGGUUAUGUAAGACAGAUGUGAAAUCCCCGGGCUCCAACCUGGGAACUGGCAUUUGUGUACUGCAUGGCUAGAGUACGGUAGAGGGGGAUGGAAUUCCGGCGUGUAGCAGUGAAAUGCGUAGAUAUGCGGAGGAACACCGAUGGCGAAGGCAAUCCCUGUGACCUGUACUGACGCUCAUGCACGAAAGCGUGGGGAGCAAACAGGAUAGAUACCCGUAGUCC